GGGGAUGUAGCACAAAUGGUAGGGCACUCGGUUUGCAUGCGAGAGGUAUGGGUUCGAUACCCUGAAUCUCCA
rnacentral:tRNA from 1 species